UACGUAGGUGGCAAGCGUUGUCCGGAUUUACUGGGCGUAAAGAGCGCGCAGGCGGUCGUUCAAGUCGCGUGUGAAAGCCCCCCGGCUCAACUGGGGAGGGUCACGCGAUACUGAUCGACUCGAAGGCAGGAGAGGGAAGUGGAAUUCCCGGUGUAGUGGUGAAAUGCGUAGAUAUCGGGAAGAACACCCGUGGCGAAGGCGGUUCUCUGGGACGGUACUGACGCUGAGACGCGAAAGCGUGGGGAGCGAACAGG
rnacentral:rRNA from 1 species